rnacentral:rRNA from 1 species
GAUGAACGCUGGCGGCGUGCCUAAUACAUGCAAGUCGAGCGAACAGACGAGGAGCUUGCUCCUCUGAUGUUAGCGGCGGACGGGUGAGUAACACGUGGAUAACCUACCUAUAAGACUGGGAUAACUUCGGGAAACCGGAGCUAAUACCGGAUAACAUGUUGAACCGCAUGGUUCAACAGUGAAAGACGGUUUUGCUGUCACUUAUAGAUGGAUCCGCGCCGCAUUAGCUAGUUGGUAAGGUAACGGCUUACCAAGGCAACGAUGCGUAGCCGACCUGAGAGGGUGAUCGGCCACACUGGAACUGAGACACGGUCCAGACUCCUACGGGAGGCAGCAGUAGGGAAUCUUCCGCAAUGGGCGAAAGCCUGACGGAGCAACGCCGCGUGAGUGAAGAAGGUCCUCGGAUCGUAAAACUCUGUUAUUAGGGAAGAACAAAUGUGUAAGUAACUAUGCACGUCUUGACGGUACCUAAUCAGAAAGCCACGGCUAACUACGUG